GGGGCAGAAUGAAAGAGUUGUACCUUGUCAGCUGGGGGAUUCCAUUUUGCAACCUACUGGCCCAAUGCUCUAACCACUAGGCUACCUGCCACCCCACGUUAUCUUUGUUGCCUAUCUGAUUAAUGCCCUCCUUGCCUAGUCCGUCAGUUUUGGUGGGUGGCCCUCUCUUGGUAGGUUUGUGACAUCUUUUUCGGGCGGCACAUAGCCUAGCGGUUAAAAGAGCGUUGGCCCAGUAACCGGAAUCACCGAGCAGAUUAAAAAUAUUUUGACUCUUUGGCUCAGUGGAGGACAGAGGGCCGGGUGGCAGUAUGGCUUCAUGUGCCUAUCUCUUUCAGCCGUUGUGCCGCAGCUGCCUCUGCUCAUGGCUUCACCUACCACCACGCCAAACAGGACCGCUCAAUUCUGUCUCUGUGGCUGGGGGAUGGGCAGCGCAGGCUGCCUGGGUUUGCUACUCGUCAGAUUGGAGUGGCAGGUAGUAUAGUCCUUGUGUAACCUGACCUAUAUCACAGGUUUAUACUGCUCAGGAUCAGAUCUGCUUCAGGUAUCGUAAAGCCAUUGCACACACGCUUGUGCAGAAAUAUUUAUGGGGCAAAUAUCAGUUAUUUCAAAUGUAGUUUGUGUUUGACAUGCAAACAAAUAUACUUGGGCUGUGUGGGAGUGGAAAACAAUGUUCAGGGAAGGGAACAGCACUUUGGAUGGCAGUUUUUUAUUUUUUUUAUAAACACCAACACAAUCAUCCACCAGGUGGCAUGCUGUUUCCUUUAUACCUCUCCCAAAGUGGAUGCAAGCAUGUCAGAACAUGUCUGUGGAAAGAGGAUGGCAUGUUGCCAACAGUAACUUGCGGGACCCCACCAUCGUGACUUUAAGUGUUUUUAGGACUGAAAUGUGUUGGAGUACACACCAACACAACACACUGGGUAAUUUGUGUUAUUAAAUCGUUUAAUUUACAUCAUAUCAUCAUCCAAUGAGUUUUAGUGUCAAACCGAGCAACCAGCUCCUUUCCCUGAAGAUAUUUUGGGGUCAAAAAUGAAUUGGUGAGUGUACCAAUAACCUUGCCACUUAGCGUUAGGUCCAAAAUUAUUGCCACUGUUGAUAAAUAUGACAAAUAAUGAGCUAUAUUGUAUGUGAAAAAAAAUGUGACGAAUAUAUUAUGUUAUACAAAUACAUUUGCUCAGAGGAAGAGAUUUUGUUUAAUAAGUAAUAUACUUUUUUUUUUUUUAGAUAGGGGUCAAAAUUAUUUCCACGUCUGUUGUCAAUACCUUUCAAAAUCUCACCUUGCGAGGAUAAUGGCCUUUUUCUAAAACGUUUUAUGAGAAUGGAGAACACACUGGGAGGUUUCUUAGACCACUCCUCCAUACAGAAUCUUUUCAGAACCUUGAUAUCCUUUGUCUGCGCUAAUGGACUGCCCUCUUCAAUUCAAGCCACAGGUUUUCAAUGGGGUAUCAAGUACAGACUUGAUUUUGUGGUCAUUUAACCGUUGUGAAUGACAGGCACAUCGAUCUGCAGGUUAAACAUGGUGAGAUUAAAGACUCCUAAAUUGAUAGUGCAGUUUGUUUAGGCGAUUGUACAGCUAACUAGCUGCUUUACAUGCUAAUAUUGUCUUUGGUAUUAUUGUAACCAGCUACGUUUGCUAGCUAGCCAGCCAAUAAAGAGCUGCAACAAAUUCCCACAUUUUUUUUUCCCACGUUGCUGCCAACCUUAUUAUAAUACCAAAAUGAAACAUUUGUUCACAAAAAAAUAUUAUUCUCAGUGUUAUUUAACACUAUAAAUUAAAAAGAAUGAGUGGUUUUGGGAGAAUCUUUCCUUGAUUCAGGACCCAAGCUGUCAGCCACAGCAGCCAACAGUUUUAAAUGAAGGGAAGUCCCUUCGUUGAUUACUUGGUUUGGUGGGUCAUUCCCGAGUUUACGAACAGACGCAGUCACUGCCUUUUGGAGGAAAAUGUUCUCCCCCCUCCACAGCUAACCUAAUGAUAGCUUCUCAGUCCGGUACCCGGGCAAUCUCCUGUGAUGUGCCCGGUGCCGGCCGGGGAUGACAUCAAUUUCCACAUAGAAGGCCAAGUCGGGGAUUAGAUGACCCAUCCCUCGUCACACAUCUGGGGGAUUCAUUCAAGGUCUAGAGUGUGUCCUGGUGAGACACCGGCCCGGAAAAACAAGGGCCCAUUUCCUUCUCCCUGGAGCUGUCAACAGAGGCACAUAGCUGGCCCUCUUAGUCACAACCCACUGGGUACAAACUUUUGUUCAAAAUCUAGUUUUGAUUUACAUUUGGUUGAGUUGUCAACUAAACGUGAAUUUAACGUGAAAUCAACAAAAAGGUUCAAAGUUGGGUGAAAAAAUAUGAAAUUCCCUUACAUUGAUUACUUUUUUCAAAUCUAAUCAGUUUUCCACCUUGAUUCAAUGUCAUCACAUUGCAUUUUUGGGUUGAAAUCAUGUGGAAACAAUGUUGAUUUACCCAGUUUUUGCCCAAUGGGAACCUGUUGAAAAAGGGGUUUAGUUAUCCCACUAGGCCAAAAGGGAUGGCAAACGUUUCACAGCUGUUACCGAGUCACCCUCUCUGUUUCACUACAGACUAUGUCAACAGACUGUACAAUGUAGGAAGGACCUUGACAUUUGUCACUACCUUUACUCACUUAGGAUGAGUUUUUGAUAAUAAAUUACAGUAUUACCUUGUUUUCUAGUCUGGCCUGGCCAUGGUGGUAUAUAUGGUCCAGCAUUUGUUGACGCAACUAAGUAUACCUCACUGUAAGAGAAUAGCGUCUGAAUAUCGGUCAAGUCCCUGAUGUUUUUCGAGUUGUUGUGAUGGCCCCUCUCUCUGGCAGGCUGAAUAAAGCCCGGCCCCAGGGCACUUAGUGCUCACUCCACGUGGGUCAGUUAAAUGAAACGUUUUCAUGUUCUCUCAAACCCAAAAAUAAUUACCUGGUCUUAAGUCAGUUGUCUGGAAGCUGUCGUCAAGGUUCUUUGGAGUAUGGACCAGCACGUAGACACUUUUUCUAUCCAUCAAGGUGCAGUCAUUGAUUAGUCAAAUGUUAAGGUUGCCAUUGUUCAAGAUAAAAACAAGGUACUGGACUGUUUCUCUGCCUGUCGUGUUUUAUGUAUUACAUAAGGCUCAACUUGAAACUUGUUUUCUUUUAUGAGAUAUGUCGACUUCUAUUAGGGACCAAUCCUUAAGAGUCUAUUGGACACACUGUCACAUCUGCUCCUGCUACGCCCUCUGGUGUUCAUCCUGUGUCUUCUUUACCUGCAGUACACUCUCUCUCCCUCUCUGUGUGAUUGUGUGGUUGGAGACAGGUGUGCUGGAGUCAGAGCAAAUCCCCUCCAGCUGCAACUCGUUCCAUAAUCAAGACCUCUACAAAUACUCAGUCCUGCCACUUCCACUCUGCCAGAUUGUAAUCUCUGCUCAUUACUACUCUGUCUCUUGCCCUGGUCUCCUGUUCCACACCUCACCACCCAACUACCUGGAUCUCGAUUUUACUCACCAUCACUACCUUGGCUUCCCCUCAGGAUCUGUUUACCAAGUUCUACUCAGCCAACUCCAACCUCUCUCCACAUCUGGUUUUUCUGCAACUCAUCUGAGCUUCCCCGGAUCUGCACUCCAUAUCUCUCUGUGUAACAAUAAAUAUUUUGGUUCAUUCAUCCCUGUUUCCUCAUCUGAGUCUGCUCUUGUGUUCCACGGUGUCACUCUGCUUCACACACACCGUGUGUGUCACUAAUGAACAAAAUCAGAAAAAAUCCCCCUUAAUCAGUUUGAAGUAGAGAUACCUUUCAGCAUGGGCUACGUCUCAAUCCACUGCCUCCGCCUGUGUUGGCCUCCCACAUCUGUGGUGGAAGGUGGCUGAGCUACAGUGCCUUGCAAAAGUAUUCAUCCCCAUUGGUGUUUUUCCUAUUUUGUUGCGUUACA